rnacentral:rRNA from 1 species
UGAGCAAUCUGCCCUUCUCUUUGGAAUAAGCGUUGGAAACGACGUCUAAUGCCGAAUACGACCUCCUUUCGCAUGAUCGGAGGUGGAAAGCUCCGGCGGAGAAGGAUGAGCUCGCGGCCUAUCAGCUAGUUGGUGUGGGUAAUGGCCCACCAAGGCGACGACGGGUAGCCGGCCUGAGAGGGUGACCGGCGACACUGGGACUGAGACACGGCCCAGACUCCUACGGGAGGNAG